UGUUCCUUACGGUCUCACAUCGUCUAGCCUACUAAACUGUUCCUUACGGUCUCACAUCGUCUAGCCUACUAAACUGUUCCUUACUGUCUCACAUCGUCUAGCCUACUAAACUGUUCCUUACGGUCUCACAUCGUCUAGCCUACUAAACUGUUCCUUCCUGUCUCACAUCGUCUAGCCUACUAAACUGUUCCUUCCUGUCUCACAUCGUCUAGCCUACUAAACUGUUCCUUACUGUCUCACAUCGUCUAGCCUACUAAACUGUUCCUUACUGUCUCACAUCGUCUAGUCUACUAAACUGUUCCUUACUGUCUCACAUCGUCUGGUCUACUAAACUGUUCCUUACGGUCUCACAUCGUCUAGCCUACUAAACUGUUCCUUACGGUCUCACAUCGUCUAGCCUACUAAACUGUUCCUUACGGUCUCACAUCGUCUAGCCUACUAAACUGUUCCUUACUGUCUCACAUCGUCUAGUCUACUAAACUGUUCCUUUCGGUCUCACAUCGUCUAGUCUACUAAACUGUUCCUUAGUGUCUCACAUCGUCUAGCCUACUAAACUGUUCCUUACUGUCUCACAUCGUCUAGCCUACUAAACUGUUCCUUACUGUCUCACAUCGUCUAGCCUACUAAACUGUUCCUUAGUGUCUCACAUCGUCUAGCCUACUAAACUGUUCUUUACUGUCUCACAUCGUCUAGUCCACUAAACUGUUCUUUACUGUCUCACAUCGUCUAGUCCACUAAACUGUUCCUUACUGUCUCACAUCGUCUAGCCUACUAAACUGUUCCUUACUGUCUCACAUCGUCUAGCCUACUAAACUGUUCCUUACUGUCUCACAUCGUCUAGCCUACUAAACUGUUCCUUAGUGUCUAGCCUACUAAACUGUUCCUUAGUGUCUCACAUGUCUCACUGGCAGGGUAGCCUAGUGGUUAGAGUGUACAGGAGGCAGGUAGCCUAGUGGUUAGAGUCUAGAGGAGGCAGGUAGCCCAGUGGUUAGAGUGUAGAGGAGGCAGGUAGCCUAGUGGUUAGAGGCGGCAGUGUAGCCUAGUGGUUCGAGUGUAGAGGUGGCAGGGUAGCCUAGUGGUUCGAGUGUAGAGGUGGCAGGGUAGCCUAGUGGUUAGAGUGUAGAGGUGGCAGGGUAGCCUAGUGGUUAGAGUGUAGAGGUGGCAGGGUAGCCUAGUGGUUAGAGUGUAGAGGUGGCAGGGUAGCCUAGUGGUUAGAGUGUAGAGGUGGCAGGGUAGCCUAGUGGUUAGAGUGUAGAGGUGGCAGGGUAGCCUAGUGGUUAGAGUGUAGAGGUGGCAGGGUAGCCUAGUGGUUAGAGUGUAGAGGUGGCAGGGUAGCCUAGUGGUUAGAGUGUAGAUGCGGCAGGGUAGCCUAGUGGUUAGAGUGUAGAUGCGGCAGGGUAGCCUAGUGGUUAGAGUGUAGAGGUGGCAGGGUAGCCUAGUGGUUAGAGUGUAGAGGUGGCAGGGUAGCCUAGUGGUUAGAGUGUAGAGGUGGCAGGGUAGCCUAGUGUUUAGAGUGUAGAGGCGGCAGGGUAGCCUAGUGGUUAGAGUGUAGAGGCGGCAGGGUAGCCUAGUGGUUAGAGUGUAGAUGCGGCAGGGUAGCCUAGUGGUUAGAGUGUAGAGGUGGCAGGGUAGCCUAGUGGUUAGAGUGUAGAGGUGGCAGGGUAGCCUAGUGGUUAGAGUGUAGAGGUGGCAGGGUAGCCUAGUGGUUAGAGUGUAGAGGUGGCAGGGUAGCCUAGUGGUUAGAGUGUAGAGGUGGCAGGGUAGCCUAGUGGUUAGAGUGUAGAGGUGGCAGGGUAGCCUAGUGGUUAGAGUGUAGAGGUGGCAGGGUAGCCUAGUGGUUAGAGUGUAGAGGUGGCAGGGUAGCCUAGUGGUUAGAGUGUAGAGGUGGCAGGGUAGCCUAGUUUUAGAGUGUAGAGGCGGCCGGGUAUCCUAGUGGUUAGAGUGUAGAGGCCCAGGGUAGCCUAGUGGUUAGAGUGUAGAUGCGGCAGGGUAGCCUAGUGGUUAGAGUGUAGAGGCGGCAGGGUAGCCCAGUGGUUAGAGUGUAGAGGCGGCAGGGUAGCCCAGUGGUUAGAGUGUAGAGGCGGCAGGGUAGCCCAGUGGUUAGAGUGUAGAGGCGGCAGGGUAGCCCAGUGGUUCGAGUGUAGAGGCGGCAGGGUAGCCCAGUGGUUCGAGUGUAGAGGCGGCAGGGUAGCCCAGUGGUUAGAGUGUAGAGGCGGCAGGGUAGCCUAGUGGUUAGAGUGUAGAGGCGGCAGGGUAGCCUAGUGGUUAGAGUGUAGAGGCGGCAGGGUAGCCUAGUGGUUAGAGUGUAGAGGCGGCAGGGUAGCCUAGUGGUUAGAGUGUAGAGGCGGCAGGGUAGCCUAGUGGUUAGAGUGUAGAGGCGGCAGGGUAGCCUAGUGGUUAGAGUGUAGAGGUGGCAGGGUAGCCUAGUGGUUGGAGUGUAGAGGCGGCAGGGUAGCCUAGUGGUUAGAGUGUAGAGGCGGCAGGGUAGCCUAGUGGUUAGAGUGUUAGAGUUCAAACCCCCGAGCUGACAAGGUACAAAUCUGUCGUUCUGCCCCUGAACAGGCAGUUAACCCACUGUUCCUAGGCCGUCAUUGAAAAUAAGAAUUUGUUCUUAACUGACUUGCAGUUAAAUAAAGGUAAAAUUAAAACAAAACAUGGACAACCCAUUUUAAAACACUGUUCAAAUUGAUGCAACCGCAGAACAAGGCCAAAUUCAUGAGAAGUUGGAAGGAUUAGAAAAAGCUAUAAAGGACCAUCAAAAUCCAUUGGACUCCCCAAUGACUGAGCAGGAGCUCUGUAAGAUACUUCAGGCCCUUAAAUGUAAAACAAAAAGGUUGCAGACCUGAUGGAAUCCGAAAUGAGCAAAAUGUCAAUUGAUCCAGAUCUGUCAAUUUGUACAAAAUAUAUAGAGUACUGCACACACAACAAUUACUGAGGUUUACAUUUAUUUAUGCUGAGUAGUUAUAUCUGGAGUAUUUCUCCUGUCUUAUCCAGUGUCCUGUGUGAAUUUAAGUAUGCUCUCUCUAAUUCUCUCUUUCUUUCUCUCUCUCUCUCUUGGGGGACCUGAGCCCUUGGGCUACCUGGCAUGAUGAGUCCUUGCUGUCCCUAGUCCACCUGGCCGUGCUGCUGCUCCAGUUUCAACUGUUCUGCCUGCGGCUAUGGAACCCUGACCUGUUCACCGAACGUGCUACCUGUCCCAGACCUGCUGUUUUCAACUCUCUGGAGACAGCAGGAGCGGUAGAGAUACUCUCAAUGAUCGGCUAUGAAAAGCCAACUGACAUUUACUCCUGAGGUGCUGACCUGUUGCACCCUCAACAACUACUGUGAUUAUUAUUAUUUGACCCUGCUGGUCAUCUAUGAACAUUUGAACAUCUUGGCCAUGUUCUGUUAUAAUCUCCACCCGGCACAGCCAGAAGAGGACUGGCCACCCCACAUAGCCUGGUUCCUCUCUAGGUUUCUUCCUAGCUUCUGGCAUUUCUAGUGCUUCUACACCUGCAUUGCUUGCUGUUUGGGGUUUUAGGCUGGGUUUCUGUACAGCACUUUGAGAUAUCAGCUGAUGUAAGAAGGGCUUUAUAAAUACAUUUGAUUAAUUGAUUAACUAUAUAGACUACUGCACGCAGUACAAUUACUUAGGUUGAUAUAUAGACUACUGUACACAGAGCGAGAGAGAAGGACGGACAAAGAGAGAGAGAAGGAAGGACAAAGAGAGAGACACUUACUAGUCUGAGGCCAAACCACACAACUAACAAUAUUGGACACUUUCUGGAACACAAAGCCUUCAGUAUCUCAUCCUGGAAUAUCCAAGGCCUGAGGUCAUAGAGGAGAUGGACCCACUCGUUGCCCUCUCGGUUACAGAGAGCUGGUAGUCCCAUCCACCAUACUACCAGGUGUGUGGUAUAGAGGAGACGGACCCACUCGUUGCCCUCUAGGUUACAGAGAGCUGGUAGUCCCAUCCAACCAUACUACCAGGUGUGUGGUAUAGAGGAGACGGACCCACUCGUUGCCCUCUAGGUUACAGAGAGCUGGUAGUCCCAUCCACCAUACUACCAGGCAUGAAAUAGGGAAGGGCUAAUUUGGUAUAGAGCAGACCCACUCUAUUUAAUUAAUCAAAGAGGAACAUUUGGCUAGAAAUUCAAAAGGAAAUAAUCUCAACAGAGAAAUGUCCUGCUGUGUGCUACCUAUAUCCCCCACUAGAAUCCCUUAUAUCCCCCACUAGAAUCCCCUAUAUCCCCCCACUAGAAUCCCCUAUAUCCCCCCACUAGAAUCCCCUA